rnacentral:lncRNA from 1 species
GUAGCCCCCACCAACCGACAACCGCAGGGGAGGGGGUGCAGGGCCCCUCUAAGAGGAGCUGCGCACCACCAUCCCCCCCACCCUCCUAGGGAAAGGGGAGCAAAGAGGCCCAGGUUCUCUCCCAGUUGGCGAAGCUUCGCUCUGGGCUCCUUGGGCUAACCGGGCUCCGCCGCCUCUUUGUGUCUGUGGGUGUUUGGGGGAACUGAUCCGGCAUAAUAGAUCAGAAAUUGACGUUUGGUGGUGAUAGAGGUCUAAAGCCGCAUAGAUCUUUAAAGACGAUCCAGUCCAACCGCCUUUUUAUAGAGUUAGGAGACGGAGGCUUAGGGACACACAGUGACUCGUUCAAGUUCAGGCAGAAGCAUGCUUUGAAUGCAGAUCUUUUGAUUACAAACCGGCAGCUUUUGUCCUUUACUCAUGGCCGCAGAUUUUGACGGAAGGAAAAACUCUUCGACAAUGUUUGAAGGAAGGCAACUGUAAAGCUUUGAAAUACUCAUUUUUUGAAUGCAAAAGGUCAAUGGUGAGAAAUUAAUAAAGAAAUUAAGAUUAAGCUUCAGGUUGCCCAGCCACUUGGGAAUUUAAACCUAGAAAAUCUCACUUGAAACUGUUGAUGGAAAGAAUCAUACCACAAUGUCCAUUCUAGUCAUUAAAAUCUACUUUUAAUCCCAAACUAAUUUCCUCUCGCUCAAUAUGUUACAGGUCUUUUCCUUUUCAGUUUUGGUACAUUAUCAAACACAUUCAAUUCUGUUAUAAUGUGUGUUUCAAAAAUACAGAUUUGUAUCAGUGUGAUGCACAUAUUGGGGGAUAUUUUUAGAAUAAAGUAAAUUUAAAGUUGGCUUUUGAGUGAUUCCUUGAGAAAUAGCAAAAGAUCUCAAAAUCGCAUCACUCACAAUAAUUUACAAAUUACACUUCUUCUGACAUCCACUUUAAUGAAUAAAGUUAAGGUCUUUGUUUAGGUAAAAUGUAUUUUUUGGUACAAUUUGGAACUGUAAACAGAGAAGGGCUAGUCCACACUGCUGUUAUCCUUGCCUCACCCCUUUUUGCCUUGACCUCCUGCUCCCUAGGCCCGGCCCCAGAGUUGCAGCCUGUCCAACUUGUGCAAUCUGAGGCAUAGACCAUACAAUAGUAACUCAAGGCCAAAUGCAUGGCUACUAUUUACUUAUUAUUUAUGUUAUUAUUAUUUAUUUUGUACUAUUUAACCAUUUGACAUGUAUUUUAAAAUGCGAUUUAUGUUUCACUUAAGUUUUUAAACCUUGUGUCCCAACCCCAUUUCCCUCAGAAGAUAUGUGGUUUUUAUUGUGCAAUUUUGCAUAUUGAAGUAGUUUUGGGGAAUAUGUGUUGUGUUACAGAAGAAUUUACAUCAACAAAUUUUAAUUUGCUUAAAUGUAAUCUUUAUUAUAGCUUGUUUUCUAAAGUUUGUUAAAUUUAACAAUGGCAUUAAUGCUAUUCUAUUCAUUUGUUUACUCUUUUG